CUGAUCGGGUGUAGGCAAUCAGCAAUUAAGCCCAGGCAAAAAUUGAAUAGCCUUGCACUGCCACUGCAGGCAGAGUAGAGAUUGUGGAGGGAUAAACUCUACCAAUUUGAAACGAAAUCUUUCUAACAUUCUUCAUAGUGAGUCUUGGAGUUGGGACCAAAUCCUAAAUAAACCAGUGGAGCAGCUUUUACCUGUGAGCCAUUUACAGCAAGCAGUUAUAUAAAUUGUGUGAUCAGAGGGUUAAGUCUCCCUGCAGAUGCAGAAUGCCCUACAGUUUGUUGUGAGAACACUACGCACCAACUGCUGGCUAUGAAUGCAUUCUCCAAGCUGACUCUGAAAUGGCAUAAUAAGAGCAACAGUUCUUUGCAGUCCAAGGCGGUCCAGGCACUGGGUGUUAGAUGGCUGAUCGAGGAGGAGGAGGAGGAGGAGGAGAAGGAGAAGGAGUUUGGCUGUUGGCUGCAGGGUGUGAGGCCCCGCUGCUCUCCAAUGGAGAAGCUCUGACUGCAGAGCUGCACCCAGUCAUGGAGCUGCCUCAUGAUGGGACAUGAAUAUGUAUGCAGGUUAACUGAUGUGCUUCUCUCUAAUUGCAAUGGGAGGAAAGGAGCCUGAAGUGCAAUGCUUCAUGGGAGCUGCUUCUCAUCUUGGCAUAUAGUAUACUAUUCCACAUAACUUAAAGGAGGGACACAUUAGAGAGUCUUUCCUGUUUGCCUAGUUGUUUAUUGCUGAUUUUAAACGAGUUUUCUGUACUUUCUUCUUUCUGAUGCCGCCAACCAAUUUAGGCAGCAUUGGUUUAAUUUAUAUUUGUUGUAGCUUUUGUUGUCCUUCAAUUUAUGCCUCCUUGCCUCUGCCAAUUAGGUUUUAACUGAAUGUGAUUAUGAAGAAUAAAUGCUAACGUUCAGCUCCACUAGAGGGUGGCCCAUCAGUUUACCUAAGGCAAGGCUUUCAAACUUGGGGGAGAGAAACAGAAUGAAGCUAAUUUUAAGGGAUAUGCUUUUAAUUUUGAACGUUUGCAUAAGCACGCUGGAGCAUUUCAGAUUAAAAUCCCCCAAAGUGUGGGAACCAUGAAAUCGCUUUAAUUAGGCCAACUGACAAUUCACCGGCAUCUCCAAGCACACUGGACCCGAAAAGGGACGAAAACAAAGCAAUCACCUUUUACAGGGAUUUGUAGUUUUUAAAAAAGUGACAGAAAUGGGAAACAACACUGAAAUUUGCAUGCAUUUUUACAUUUUUGAGGGAACACCUUAAAAUUAAAAGACCUGGAAACAGUGGACUGUUGGUAAAGCGGCUGACAUAUGGUGAAGGUCAGGCUGUUGAUGACGGUUAGACAGAGUGGCAGCUGCCACUUUUCUGACAAAGGUCAAUCUGUCAGAUCACACCCUCACAUCUCAGCCCUUAUAUACCACUGGCAAUAAUUGUACACAGUUAUAUAAAUAUGUAUGCGCACACUGAAUGUUUCAAGGGUUUGUUUUUUGAUACAAAUCCUCAGUUAAGGACAGCAUGGUGGUGUGGUGGUUAGCAUCACUGCAAGUUCCUGGGUUUGAAUCCAAAAUCUGGGCAGGGCCAUUUUUCUGUAUCUGUGUGGGUAUUCCUGCUUCCUCCCACAGUCCAAAGACAUGCACCUAAUUAGGUUAAUUGGUUAUACCCUCUUGUCCUAUAGAAGCUGGGAUAGGCUUCCCCUUGACCCUGAAUUGGAAAAGCAGAAGAAAAUGGAUGGCUGAAUUUUCAGUUAUGAAAAUUAGUCUGUCCAAAUGUUUGAAUCAUAAUUACUCUUAUAUCUUUACUUAUUCUAACUUCAACUAUUAAAGUCUAAUUCAAAAGCUGACAGUAACUCACUGUAAUUGUUAAUCAAACUGCAAUUUCAUC
rnacentral:lncRNA from 1 species